rnacentral:rRNA from 1 species
CCGGCCCGCUUUGGAUACUGCAAGACUAGAGUAUUAGAGAGGUUAGUGGNAACUCCAUGUGAAGCGGUGGAAUGCGUAGAUAUAUGGAAGAACACCAAUGGCGAAGGCAACUAACUGGCUAAUAACUGACACUGAGGAACGAAAGCGUGGGUAGCAAACAGGAUUAGAUACCCUGGUAGUCCACGCCGUAAACGAUGAUCACUAGACGGUAGAAGAUUUACUGUCACAGCUAACGCAUUAAGUGAUCCGCCUGAGUAGUAUGCUCGCAAGAGUGAAACUUAAAGGAAUUGACGGGGACCCGCACAAGCGGUGGAGCAUGUGGUUUAAUUUGAAGAUACGCGGAGAACCUUACCCACUCUUGACAUCUUCCGCAAAGCUAUAGAGAUAUAGUGGAGGUUAACGGAAUGACAGAUGGUGCAUGGUUGUCGUCAGCUCGUGUCGUGAGAUGUUCGGUUAAGUCCGGCAACGAGCGCAACCCCUGUCCUUAGUUACCAGCACGUAGUGGUGGGGACUCUAGGGAGACUGCCUGGGUAACCAGGAGGAAGGUGGGGACGACGUCAAAUCAUCAUGCCUCUUACGAGUGGGGCAACACACGUGCUACAAUGGGAGAUACAGAAUGACGGCAAUAUGGUGACAUGGAGCAAAUCACAAAAAUCUCUCUCAGUUCGGAUCGAAGUCUGCAACUCGACUUCGUGAAGUUGGAAUCGCUAGUAAUCGUAGGUCAGCUAUACUACGGUG